CCUACGUGAGGCAGCAGUGAGGAAUAUUGGUCAAUGGACGAGAGUCUGAACCAGCCAAGUAGCGUGAAGGAUGACUGCCCUAUGGGUUGUAAACUUCUUUUAUAUGGGAAUAAAAUGUUCCACGUGUGGGAUUUUGUAUGUACCAUAUGAAUAAGGAUCGGCUAACUCCGUGCCAGCAGCCGCGGUAAUACGGAGGAUCCGAGCGUUAUCCGGAUUUAUUGGGUUUAAAGGGGGCGUAGGUGGCUUGUUAAGUCAGUUGUGAAAGUCUGCGGCUCAACCGUAAAAUUGCAGUUGAAACGGGCAGUCUUGAGUACAGUAGAGGUAGGCGGAAUUCGUGGUGUCGCGGUGAAAUGCUUAGA
rnacentral:rRNA from 1 species